GUGGGGAAUAUUGCACAAUGGGGGAAACCCUGAUGCAGCGACGCCGCGUGAAGGAUGACGGUUUUCGGAUUGUAAACUUCUAUCAGCAAGGAAGAUAAUGACGGUACUUGACUAAGAAGCCCCGGCUAACUACGUGCCAGCAGCCGCGGUAAUACGUAGGGGGCAAGCGUUAUCCGGAUUUACUGGGUGUAAAGGGAGCGUAGGUGGUAAGGUAAGUCAGAUGUGAAAGCCCAGGGCUCAACCCUGGGACUGCAUUUGAAACUAUCUUACUAGAGUGCAGGAGAGGUAAGUGGAAUUCCUAGUGUAGCGGUGAAAUGCGUAGAUAUUAGGAGGAACACCAGUGGCGAAGGCGGCUUACUGGACUGUAACUGACACUGAGGCUCGAAAGCGUGGGGAGCAAACAGGAUUAGAAACCCGGGUAGUCC
rnacentral:rRNA from 1 species